rnacentral:lncRNA from 1 species
AACAUUCUGGGUCUGGGGGAGCUGGUGUGGUGAGUGGGGCAGUGGGUUCACCAUUAUCCCUGGAUCAGUCACAUACAAUGGUAAGCCAGAGGCGAUGCUGAAACAGGAUAGUCGGAAAGAUUGUUCAGGGCUGUGAAGUCCAGGAUAAGGACUCUGAGGUAAAGAAGAUAGGUUAGCCCUCCUAAAGUUUGGCGGGGGGGUUGUUUUGCUUUAUUUUAGGAACAGCUUUACUGAGCUCCCAUACAAGUCAUUCACUGUAAGUGUACAAUUCAGUGAUUCUUAGUAUAGUCAGUUGUGCAACCAUCACCACAAACUAUCUUAGGACAUUUUCCUCAACCCAAAAAGAAACCCCAAACUUCUUAACUCAUUCUAUGAGGCCAGAUACAAAGCCAAACAAAGAUAUCACUGGAAAAAAAAAAAAAAAAUGAGGCAAACUACAAGGCGAUAUCCCUAAUGAAUACAGAAGCAAAAAGCCCUCCACAAAAUACUGGUAAACUGGGACACCUGCAUGGCUCAGCAGCUAAGCAUCUGCCCUUGACUCAGGGCGUGACCCCGGGGUCCUGGGAUCGAGUCCCACAUCAGGCUCCUGCAGGGAGCCUGCUUCUCCCUCUGCCUCUGUCUCUGCAUCUCUCGGCAUCUCUCAUGAAUAAAUAAAAUCUUAAAAAAAAAAUACUGGUAAACUAAAUCCAGCAAGAUAUUAAAAGGCACUUACACCAUGACCAAGUGGAAAUUAUUCCAGGAAUAGAAGCAUGAUUCAACACACAAAAUUCAAUCAGUAAUCAUGUUAAUAAGAGAAAAAUACAAGAAUAUCUCAAUAGACAGAAAAAGCAUUUGACAAAAUCUAGCAUCCUUUCAUGAUAAAACAUUCAACAACCUAAAAUGAGAGGAACUUCCUCAAUGGGAUAAAGGGCAUCUACAAAAAUACACCUCACACCUAAAUGGUAAAAGACUAAAAGCUUCCCCCCCUAAGAUUAUGAACAACACAGAUGUCCCCUCUCACCACCUCUAUUCAACAUUAUACUUAAAGCCAGUGUAAUUAGGCAAGAAAAAUAAAUAAAAAGCAACCAAGUGGAUAAGGAAAAAGUAGAUGACCUCUAUUUGCAGAUGGCAUGAUUGUUAGAUUAAAAACCAUGGGACGCAUGGGUGGCUCAGGGGUUGAGCACCUUGCCUUCAGCCCAGGGCGUGAUCCUGGAGUCCUGGGAUGGAGUCCCAUGUCAGGCUCCCUGCAUGGAGCCUGCUUUUCCCUCUGCCUGUGUCUCUGUCUCUCUCUCUGUCUCUCUCAUGAAUAAAUAAAUAAAAUAUUUUAAAAAAAUAAAGUUCUAAAACUAUCUUCAAAAAAAAAUCCAAAAAAAUAAAAACAUAAAAAAAUAAAAAUAAAAAAAACCUAAAGAAUCCCCCCACCCCCCCAAAAAAAAGCUAAUGAAGGAGUUCAGCAAAAUUGCAGGACAGAAGAUCAAUAUACAUAUUCAGUUGCAUUUCUAUAUGUAAACAAUCCAAAAUAUAAUUCUCUUAGCAUCAAAAGGAAUACAAAGGAAUAGAUUUAACCAAGGAAGAAUAAGACUUGUAUACUGAAAAAUACAAAACAUUGUUCCAAAAAAAUAAAAAUCACAGACAACAUAUAUAAAUCCAUACUCGUGCAAAGACUUCAUAGUGUUAAGAUGGCAAUAAUCCCCAAAUUGAAAGAUUCAAUGCAAUCCCUUUAAAAUUCUAAGUGCCUUUUCUGCAGAAACAGGUUAAUCCUAAAAUUCAUAUGGAAUUGUAAGGGACCACAGAUAACUGAACCCAUCAUGCCACAGACGAACAAAGUAGGAGGAUUCACCCUUCCUGAUUUCAAAUUUUUAACAAAGCUAGAGUAAUCAAAACAGUGGUACCGGCAUAAGAGCAGCUAUACAGAUCAGAACAGACUUGAGAGUCCAGAAACAGACCCAUACAUCUAUAACCAGCAGAAUUCGGCAAAGGCGCCAAGUUUGUAACAAUGGGGAAGGAACAGUCUUUUCAACAAAUUGUACUGGGACAACUGGCUAUCCACAUACAAAAGAAUGACUCUGAACCCCUACGUCACACCAUAUAAAAUAAUUAACUCAAAAUGGACCAAAGACUUAAAAUAUACAGCUAAAAAUAUAAAACUCUUUGAAGGAGUAUAAAUCUUCAUGACUUUGGACUUCACGACAUAGUCUUAAACAGAACACCUAAAACACAAGCAACAAAAGAAGAAAUGAAUUGGACUUCAGCAAAAUUAAGAACGUUUGUGAGUCACAAGACACUAUCAAGAAAACAAAGAAACAGCCCAAAGAAUGAGAGAACGUGCUUGUGCACCACGCUCAGCAUGUGUACCCGGUGUGAAGAAUGUAUAAAACAUCCUUACAAUUCAACAAAAUGACAAUCCAAUUUUAAAAGGAGUAAAGGACCUGAAUAAAUAAUUCUCCAAAGAAAAUGUAAAAAUGGCUAUUCAUUACAGGAAAAGAUGUUCAACAUCAUUAGUCAUUAGAAAAUGGAAAUAAGAGCACAUCGAAAUAGCUCUUCCAUCAACUAAAAUGACUAGUGGAAAAUAAAAAGCCACCAAGUGUUUGCAGAGAAAUCAGAACCCUCCUACACUGCUGCUAUCGGGAACAUAAAAUGAAACAGCAGGUGCAGAAGGUGACGUGGAGAAGGAGGACUGGGUAGUAACUGCUUAAGGUAUACAGGGUUUCCUUUGGAGAAAACAUUCUGAGAGGAUGGUAACAACUGCAGAUCAUUUGGAUAUAAUAAAAACCACUUUAACAUACUUAAAACGGUGACUUUUAAGUGAUUUUGUUUUUACAUUAAAAAAAGAGAGAGAGAGACCUCAAACCCUUUAGCCAUCAUUCCCUAAAACUCUCAGCCCUAGACAA